CCCAACUUAUCGUCUCGUUGAGACAUUGGUUUGAUAUAGUAUAUUCGCAAUUUUAGAUUGCAUCCGCUAUUUAUCUUGUUCUUGCUUGUUCUUCGAUUGCUUGCAGGAACAAAGACCUUCGUGGUCAGGUUGAUCGUGCCCCGCGUGAUCAAUAACCCUCUGGAGUUGGUGUAUCGAUUGCUAAGGCGCUGCCUCCUAGGCCGUAGUCGGAUCGUCAACGUCACCUCCUACCCCAAAUCGAGAGUUAUCAAUCUCAUCGAAAGAUCGGGCCACUCACACCCGUAUCA
rnacentral:lncRNA from 1 species